UCAGUCCCAGUCAGGACAAAUCAUGGCCAUGAAGUCUCCUACUAAGGCCCUGACAAUUUGGCUACUUUGGCUCUCAGGUGCCAUAUGUGAUAUUCAAGUGACACAAUCUCCAUCCCACCUCUCAGCAUCUCUAGGAGACAAAGUAACUAUUACUUGUCUUGCAAGUCAGGACAUUAGCAAUGACAUGAGCUGGUACCAGCAGAAAUCAGGACAACCUCCUACACUCUUGAUCUAUUAUGGAAAAAGUUUGCAAUCUGGUGUCCCAUCAAGGUUCAGUGGCCAAUACUCUGGCAGAAGAUUUGAUCUAAGCAUCAGCAGCCUGGAGUCUGAAGAUUCUGCAACUUAUUAUUGUCUACAGGAUUACAGUACUCCUCACACAGUGAUACAAGUCAUGACAUAA